rnacentral:rRNA from 1 species
AGUGAACGCUGGCGGUAGGCCUAACACAUGCAAGUCGAACGGCAGCACAGUAAGAGCUUGCUCUUACGGGUGGCGGGUGGCGGACGGGUGAGGAGUACAUCGGAAUCUACUUUUUCGUGGGGGAUAACGUAGGGAAACUUACGCUAAUACCGCAUACGACCUACGGGUGAAAGCAGUGGAUCUUCGGACCUUGCGCGAUUGAAUGAGCCGAUGCCGGAUUAGCUAGUUGGCGGGGUAAAGGCCCACCAAGGCGACGAUCCGUAGCUGGUCUGAGAGGAUGAUCAGCCACACUGGAACUGAGACACGGUCCAGACUCCUACGGGAGGCAGCAGUGGGGAAUAUUGGACAAUGGGCGCAAGCCUGAUCCAGCCAUACCGCGUGGGUGAAGAAGGUCUUCGGGUUGUAAAGCCCUUUUGUUGGGAAAGAAAAGCAGCAGGUUAAUACCCCGCUGUCCUGACGGUACCCAAAGAAUAAGCCCCGGCUAACUUCGUG